CUCACAUCCUCCUGUCAAAGAUUGGCCCAUACAAGUUGUUUUGUUGGGAUUUUGAUAGAAUCCGUCCUGGUAAAGAGCUGGAGAGUGAGGUGAUAAACGCCUAUUUACAUGUUAUGGUCCAACGAUUUAACCUGAAGCACCAAGAACAAGCAGCCCUGAUAGACAGUUUUGAAAUGACGCGUAUUUGGAAACAUCAAAAAUCCAGAUUAAAGAUUGAUCCAGAAAAAUAUGCAAUGAUUCUGGGGAUUGCAAAUGAAAGUCACCACUGGAUGCU